rnacentral:rRNA from 1 species
UACGAAGGGGGCUAGCGUUGUUCGGAAUUACUGGGCGUAAAGCGCGCGCAGGCGGCUAUCCAAGUCAGUGGUGAAAGCCCGGAGCUCAACUCCGGAACUGCCAUUGAAACUGUUUAGCUUGAGUAUGAGAGAGGUGAGUGGAAUUCCCAGUGUAGAGGUGAAAUUCGUAGAUAUUGGGAAGAACACCGGUGGCGAAGGCGGCUCGCUGGACAAGUAUUGACGCUGAGGUGCGAAAGCGUGGGGAGCAAACAGG